GACGUAGGGCGCGAGCGUUGUCCGGAUUUAUUGGGCGUAAAGAGCUCGUAGGCGGCUUGUCGCGUCGACUGUGAAAUCCCGCGGCUCAACUGCGGGUCUGCAGUCGAUACGGGCAGGCUAGAGUUCGGUAGGGGAGACUGGAAUUCCUGGUGUAGCGGUGAAAUGCGCAGAUAUCAGGAGGAACACCAAUGGCGAAGGCAGAUCUCUGGGCCGUAACUGACGCUGAGGAGCGAAAGCAUGGGGAGCGAACAGG
rnacentral:rRNA from 1 species